UACGUAGGUGGCAAGCGUUGUCCGGAUUUAUUGGGUUUAAAGGGUGCGUAGGCGGCUUUGUAAGUCAGUGGUGAAAUAUGGCAGCUCAACUGUCAGGGUGCCAUUGAUACUGCGGAGCUUGAGUACAGAUGAGGUAGGCGGAAUUGACGGUGUAGCGGUGAAAUGCUUAGAUAUCGUCAAGAACACCGAUAGCGAAGGCAGCUUACUGGGCUGUAACUGACGCUGAGGCACGAAAGCGUGGGGAGCAAACAGG
rnacentral:rRNA from 1 species